GACGAACGCUGGCGGCGUGCCUAAUACAUGCAAGUCGAGCGCAGGAAAUCGACGGAACCCUUCGGGGGGAAGUCGACGGAAUGAGCGGCGGACGGGUGAGUAACACGUAAAGAACCUGCCCUCAGGUCUGGGAUAACCACGAGAAAUCGGGGCUAAUACCGGAUGGGUCAUCGGACCGCAUGGUCCGAGGAUGAAAGGCGCUUCGGCGUCGCCUGGGGAUGGCUUUGCGGUGCAUUAGCUAGUUGAUGGGGUAAUGGCCCACCAAGGCGACGAUGCAUAGCCGACCUGAGAGGGUGAUCGGCCACACUGGGACUGAGACACGGCCCAGACUCCUACGGGAGGCAGCAGUAGGGAAUCUUCCACAAUGGACGAAAGUCUGAUGGAGCAUCGCCGCGUGAACGAUGAAGGCCUUCGGGUCGUAAAGUUCUGUUGUAAGGGAAGAACAAGUGCCGCAGGCAAUGGCGGCACCUUGACGGUACCUUGCGAGAAAGCCACGGCUAACUACGUGCCAGCCGCCGCAGUAA
rnacentral:rRNA from 1 species